rnacentral:rRNA from 1 species
CGUAACACGUGGGUAAUCUACCCCUGAAUUUGGGAUAACAUCGCGAAAGCGAUGCUAAUACCGGAUAACAUCAAUGAGACUUUGGUUUUAUUGAUCAAAGAUGGCCUCUAUUUAUAAGCUAUUGUUUAGGGAUGAGCCUGCGUACCAUUAGCUAGUUGGUGGGGUAAAGGCCUACCAAGGCUACGAUGGUUAGCUGGUCUGAGAGGAUGAUCAGCCACACUGGAACUGACACACGGUCCAGACUCC